AGAACGGCUCUUUUAAGAGCCACUGAAGUACAGUUCUGUUUUCUU
rfam:Myotis lucifugus cont2.23694, whole genome shotgun sequence.